UACCUGGUUGAUCCUGCCAGUAGUCAUAUGCUUGUCUCAAAGAUUAAGCCAUGCAAGUCUAAGUACGAGCUCUCGUACAGUGAAACUGCGAAUGGCUCAUUAAAUCAGUUAUGGUUCAUUUGAUCGUACAGUUUACUUGGAUAACUGUGGUAAUUCUAGAGCUAAUACAUGCGAGAAGCGCCACCUCGCGGGAGGCGUGCAUUUAUCAGACAAAAACCGGCCGCGUCUUCGGGCGCGUUCGCCUUGGUGACUCUGGAUAACUUUGCGGAUCGCACGGUCUAGCACCGGCGACGGAUCAUUCAA
rnacentral:ncRNA from 1 species